CUCGCGACAGGCGCUUGGAGAGCGUCACCGAGCUUGCGCAGUCGACCGACGUGCCUCCGGCUGCCGCCAGGACCCAGGGACUGGGCGGGGAGAGGCCAGGGCCUGCUCUUCCCCGGCUCCGACCGGCAUGUUUUCCCUCUGUGCCCGGGUUGGAAUGAGCUCGUGGCGUGGGCGGAGCUCCGGUCGUGCAGUUCUAGGGUAAGCCAGCUGCCGUCUUGUGAGGAGAGGUCCACGUGGUGAGAAACUGAGGACUCCAGCCAACAAGUAAAGACCUGAGGCCACCUGCUAACAACCACCUGAGUGACUUUGAAGGAUCCUCUAGCCCCAGGCAAGCCUUCAGACGACUGUAAUGCCAGCUGACUUCUGGACUGCAACCUCAUGAAAGACCCAGAGCCACCCAGUUAAGCACUUCCAAAUUCCUAAUGCACAGAAUCCAUGAGAUAAUACAUGCUUGUUGUUUUAAUCCACUAAGUGUUAAGAUUGGAGAAUAUCCCUUGGCUGAAGCACUCACCCCAGAACUCUUCCUUCAUCACCCACUUGCCAUGGAAAGGCAUGAGAGGGAUCUGUGAAUAUUCUAAAGUGUGUAUAAAAUGGCAUG